rnacentral:rRNA from 1 species
GACGAACGCUGGCGGCGUGCCUAAUACAUGCAAGAAGAACGCUGAAGAGAGGAGCUUGCUCUUCUUGGAUGAGUUGCGAACGGGUGAGUAACGCGUAGGUAACCUGCCUUGUAGCGGGGGAUAACUAUUGGAAACGAUAGCUAAUACCGCAUAACAAUGGAUGACCCAUGUCAUUUAUUUGAAAGGGGCAAAUGCUCCACUACAAGAUGGACCUGCGUUGUAUUAGCUAGUAGGUGAGGUAACGGCUCACCUAGGCGACGAUACAUAGCCGACCUGAGAGGGUGAUCGGCCACACUGGGACUGAGACACGGCCCAGACUCCUACGGGAGGCAGCAGUAGGGAAUCUUCGGCAAUGGGGGCAACCCUGACCGAGCAACGCCGCGUGAGUGAAGAAGGUUUUCGGAUCGUAAAGCUCUGUUGUAAGUCAAGAACGAGUGUGAGAGUGGAAAGUUCACGCUGUGACGGUAGCUUACCAGAAAGGGACGGCUAACUACGUGCCAGCAGCCGCGGUAAUACGUAGGUCCCGAGCGUUGUCCGGAUUUAUUGGGCGUAAAGCGAGCGCAGGCGGUUUGAUAAGUCUGAAGUUAAAGGCUGUGGCUCAACCAUAGUUCGCUUUGGAAACUGUCAAACUUGAGUGCAGAAGGGGAGAGUGGAAUUCCAUGUGUAGCGGUGAAAUGCGUAGAUAUAUGGAGGAACACCGGUGGCGAAAGCGGCUCUCUGGUCUGUAACUGACGCUGAGGCUCGAAAGCGUGGGGAGCGAACAGGAUUAGAUACCCUGGUAGUCCACGCCGUAAACGAUGAGUGCUAGGUGUUGGAUCCUUUCCGGGAUUCAGUGCCGCAGCUGACGCAUUAAGCACUCCGCCUGGGGAGUACGACCGCAAGGUUGAAACUCAAAGGAAUUGACGGGGGCCCGCACAAGCGGUGGAGCAUGUGGUUUAAUUCGAAGCAACGCGAAGAACCUUACCAGGUCUUGACAUCCCGAUGCUAUUUCUAGAGAUAGAAAGUUACUUCGGUACAUCGGUGACAGGUGGUGCAUGGUUGUCGUCAGCUCGUGUCGUGAGAUGUUGGGUUAAGUCCCGCAACGAGCGCAACCCCUAUUGUUAGUUGCCAUCAUUCAGUUGGGCACUCUAGCGAGACUGCCGGUAAUAAACCGGAGGAAGGUGGGGAUGACGUCAAAUCAUCAUGCCCCUUAUGACCUGGGCUACACACGUGCUACAAUGGUUGGUACAACGAGUUGCGAGUCGGUGACGGCAAGCUAAUCUCUUAAAGCCAAUCUCAGUUCGGAUUGUAGGCUGCAACUCGCCUACAUGAAGUCGGAAUCGCUAGUAAUCGCGGAUCAGCACGCCGCGGUGAAUACGUUCCCGGGCCUUGUACACACCGCCCGUCACACCACGAGAGUUUGUAACACCCGAAGUCGGUGAGGUAACCUUUUGGAGCCAGCCGCCUAAGGUGGGAUAGAUGAUUGGGGUG